rnacentral:lncRNA from 1 species
GGGAGGGGAGGGAGGAGGGGGAGGAAUCUUGCAAUCUGAAUAAAAACAUCUUUGGGCCUCAUUUGCGCCCCAGGCCCCCCAGGCUCCGCCAGGCUGGGGGGUGGAGGUGCAGGCAGUGGUGGAGAGCUGAGUCCUGGACUGGCCUAGGAGACCCCAGUCCUGGCUGCACGGCCUCAACCACGUGACUUGGAGGGGCAGCUCCUCCUCUUGACACCCCAGCUGUUCACCCGCACAGCCUGGAGCCCACCCUGCUGUCGGGGCUGCGGUGAGAAUCUGCUGAGGGCCUGUGUUGCAGGGUCUGGUGUCGCCCAGGGAAGUUCUGCACCAGGUCGAAUCUCCAGGCCUCCUAUUGUGUUUUAAUCACAGUCUACCUGUCUAGACCUAGUGUGUCCUACAGGGUGUGCGGUGGCCAGGCCCCAGGGGGCCCCAGGGACCCUCACCUCCCAGCAUCUGUCACCUCCUGCCCUCCCGUGGGCUUCUGGGCUUGGUCUGUGCAACCCACAGCCCUUGGUGGGAGUGUUGGUGUGUGGCUUCCUGGGCGCCCGGGGCCCCUCGGCGGGGCUGGUUAGAACCGGUGCUGUGGCACAGACAGCAGCUGGUGCCAGGUGGCCCUGGCCGGAGACACUCAGGGCACAUGGACGUGCAAAGACAGCAGGCGGCCGAACACCUGUCACCGUCCCAUGUCACGUAAGGGGAGCAGUGCACAUCGGCACUGGCCGUGUGAGCCCGUGGUGUGUAAAUUCCUCCAGGGAACAGGUUCACCAGCCCUGCGGAGAGCCGUGCGUGCAGCUGGCACGGGGGGUCCCUGAGAAGAUCCUGGCCCUGCUGUGCUCGACUCCGCGGGGGACGCUCAGCCCUCCUCGACAGAAGGUCCUGCCCUCCUCUCUCUCUCCCUGCCUGCCGUGCGCCCGCCCUCACUGUGGCCUCUGGACUCCUGCUGGAGUCUCCUUGAUGACAUUUAAGUCACAGCUCCACCUGGAAUUCAACUUGGGCUCAGACACCCCAACCCUCUGGGAUGGAAAAGAAGAAAAUGGAGAGUGUGGGGCAGACGCCGGCCGAGCCGAGGGCAGGUCAGCACAGCCUCAUGUCCGGCAGAGGGUGUCCAGGUUCUUGGCAUCAUGAACAAAGAAUUGGACAAAAUGCACAAAGCAACGGAAGAAGGAAGCAGCAAAGGCAGAGACGUGUGGAACAUGAACGCGCACUCCACAGUGCAGUGGGAGCCGGGCUGAGCACAGGGGGUCGGGAGCCCUGUUACAGAACUGCCUGGGGUCUAAAUAUGCUCCAGAGGUUUCCACUGGUUACUUGGUAUAUGCCCUAUGUAAACGGAGAGGUUAUUUCCUGUUGUAGCUGAUGUGUUUCCAUUUGAUUUUGUUCUACGGAGUCAGCGUGAAACAGCCUUAGGUUCCCAGGCUCCAGAUCCUCUUCUCCUCCCUCACUGGGUCCCAGUCAUUGCCCCAUUGUCUGGAUCUCGGAGGCUGCCCCUGGUGCUGGCUGAAGCCCAGCCACCAUCCCCGAAGGCCGCUCCUUCCCAG